GCCUGGGUGGCUCAGUCGGUCGAGCAUCUGACUUCGGCUCAGAUCAUGACCUCACGGCUCAGCAGGUUGAGCCCUGCAUCGGGCU
rnacentral:tRNA from 1 species